rnacentral:rRNA from 1 species
UACGGAGGGGACUAGCGUUGUUCGGAAUUACUGGGCGUAAGGCGCACGUAGGCGGCUUUGUAAGUCAGGGGUGAAAUCCCGGGGCUCAACCUCGGAACUGCCUUUGAUACUGCAAAUCUCGAGUCCGGAAGAGGUGAGUGGAAUUCCUAGUGUAGAGGUGAAAUUCGUAGAUAUUAGGAAGAACACCAGUGGCGAAGGCGGCUCACUGGUCCGGUACUGACGCUGAGGUGCGAAAGCGUGGGGAGCAAACAGG